UCAAUUCUCAGUAGAGAAUACAACCUUUGAGAAGUUAGAGAUUGAGAUAAAGCCUUAGCAAAGUCUUUAGCAAGUCUUGUUUUCAAUAGCUUAAGUGUUCACCUCCCUCUUUCUCUUUGAAAAUUUGUAAGAGUGUAAAUCACUUGUAAAAGAUUGUGAGAGGGGUAUUUGUCCUUCCCCUUCAAAAUAAUUUGCUAGUAGAAGUUGGGAGCCUCAUCGAAG
rnacentral:lncRNA from 1 species